AGGGACCGCCACUCAUCGAGGACAUGACAGAACUGGGUUGCAGACUCAGGUUGUCCCAUUGUGAAUCCGGCAUUCUCUCCACCGUGCCACACCGUUGGCACGUAGACAGGAUUCCUCUGGCUGCUUGCCAAGGAACAGUUCAGUUCCUGCUCAGUAAGGCCCGAGGCCCUUGGUUGGCCCCUAGGGGAAGAGGGUGAAAUGCAGAAGCCUCCUGGGUAAGAGUAGGACUUUCAGGAAGUGGAAAGACCCUUGAGUCCCAGUAGCCAGGGGUGGGUAGUAGCCGUAGGAGAAGGGUCUCCCACAUCCUGGGACAGAGGCUCUUGACUCAGUGGGAUUUCAGAAGCUGGUACUACCCAACUUCUUGCCUGCCCUGGGGAUCACAUUUCCUGACUCAGAGAUGAGAAGUGACCAUGGCCAGGUCUGACAGCUUCCUGAUGCUUCUUCUCUCCAGAGUUUCAUCUUGCACCUGG